GACGAACGCUGGCGGCGCGCUUAACACAUGCAAGUCGAACGGAAAGGCCUGCUGUCCCUUGUGGAUUGCGGGUACUCGAGUGGCGAACGGGUGAGUAACACGUGAGUGAUCUGCCCCCAACUUGGGUAUAAGCCUGGGAAACUGGGUCUAAUUCCCGAUAGGACUGCAGGGUGGUGCCUGUGGUGGAAAACGAUUUUCUAGUGGUUGGGGAUGAGCUCGCGGCCUAUCAGCUUGUUGGUGGGGUAAUGGCCUACCAAGGCGGCGACGGGUAGCCGGCCUGAGAGGGUGGACGGCCACAUUGGGACUGGGAUACGGCCCAGACUCCUACGGGAGGCAGCAGUGGGGAAUAUUGCACAAUGGGCGGAAGCCUGAUGCAGCGACGCCGCGUGGGGGAUGACGGCCUUCGGGUUGUAAACUCCUUUCGACCGCGAGGAAGCCACCUGGUUGGAAGGGUGGUGACGGUAGUGGUAGAAGAAGCACCGGCUAACUACGUG
rnacentral:rRNA from 1 species